rnacentral:rRNA from 1 species
GAUGAACGCUGGCGGCGUGCCUAAUACAUGCAAGUCGAGCGAACAGAUGAGGAGCUUGCUCCUCUGACGUUAGCGGCGGACGGGUGAGUAACACGUGGAUAACCUACCUAUAAGACUGGGAUAACUUCGGGAAACCGGAGCUAAUACCGGAUAAUAUAUUGAACCGCAUGGUUCAAUAGUGAAAGACGGUUUUGCUGUCACUUAUAGAUGGAUCCGCGCCGCAUUAGCUAGUUGGUAAGGUAACGGCUUACCAAGGCAACGAUGCGUAGCCGACCUGAGAGGGUGAUAGGCCACACUGGAACUGAGACACGGUCAAGACUCCUACGGGAGGCAGCAGUAGGGAAUCUUCCGCAAUGGGCGAAAGCCUGACGGAGCAACGCCACGUGAGUGAUGAAGGUCUUCGGAUCGUAAAACUCUGUUAUUAGGGAAGAACAAAUGUGUAAGUAACUAUGCACGUCUUGACGGUACCUAAUCAGAAAGCCACGGCUAACUACGUG